UGCCGAGUGUCCUCUAGCAAUAAAAGUGUCU
rnacentral:piRNA from 1 species